rnacentral:rRNA from 1 species
UACGCAGGGUGCAAGCGUUGUCCGGAAUUAUUGGGCGUAAAGAGCUCGUAGGCGGUCUGUCGCGUCGGCUGUGAAAUCCCGGAGCUCAACUCCGGGUCUGCAGUCGAUACGGGCAGACUGGAGUUCGGCAGGGGAGACUGGAAUUCCUGGUGUAGCGGUGAAAUGCGCAGAUAUCAGGAGGAACACCUGUGGCGAAGGCGGUGGCCUGGACCGGUGCUGACGCUGAGGCGCGAAGGCGUGGGGAGCGAUCCGG